AUUGAACGCUGGCGGCAUGCCUUACACAUGCAAGUCGAACGGCAGCACGGGUGCUUGCACCUGGUGGCGAGUGGCGAACGGGUGAGUAAUACAUCGGAACAUGUCCUGUAGUGGGGGAUAGCCCGGCGAAAGCCGGAUUAAUACCGCAUACGAUCCACGGAUGAAAGCGGGGGACCUUCGGGCCUCGCGCUAUAGGGUUGGCCGAUGGCUGAUUAGCUAGUUGGUGGGGUAAAGGCCUACCAAGGCGACGACCAGUAGCUGGUCUGAGAGGACGACCAGCCACACUGGGACUGAGACACGGCCCAGACUCCUACGGGAGGCAGCAGUGGGGAAUUUUGGACAAUGGGCGAAAGCCUGAUCCAGCAAUGCCGCGUGUGUGAAGAAGGCCUUCGGGUUGUAAAGCACUUUUGUCCGGAAAGAAAUCCUUGACUCUAAUACAGUCGGGGGAUGACGGUACCGGAAGAAUAAGCACCGGCUAACUACGUG
rnacentral:rRNA from 1 species